ACUUUUAUGCGAGGAGGUGCUGGAGGGUGGGCUUGCGCUCGGCGUUUCAGUGCUGGUCGCGCUCUGGCUGGGCACGAACGUAGAGGUCAGGCUAGGGCUGACGAUGCUGGCUAAGCGGGGGCGCACGUCUGGGAAGUCGUCGUCGUAGUCACCGAUGUCCGUGACCUUCCAGAGCCUCUGGUAACCACUGUUCUACUCAAUACUUCUAUGAGGUGAACUUCUUUGGAUUCCACAUAUGAUCAAGAUCAUGAGUGGCGCCUGGAACGCCAGCAAGAGAGAACCGUUCACUCCCCUGGACAGGGGGCUGAAGCCGUGGAGCCAAGUGGACUAGCUCAGCGGAUCCCACCCCCACAGAGCCCAGCAAGCUAAGAUCCACUGGCUUGAAAUUCUUGCUGCCAGCACAACAGUCUGAAGUCAACCUGGGAUGCUGGAGCUUGGUGAGGGGAGGAGCGUCCACCAUUACUGAGGCUUGAGUAGGCGGUUUUCCCCUCACAGUGUAAACAAAGCCACCAGGAAAUUUGGACUGGGUGGAGCCCACCGCAGCUCAGCAAAGCCGCUGUAGCCAGGCUGCCUCUCUAGAUUCCUCUUCUCUGGGCAGGGCAUCUCUGAAAAAAAGGCAGCAGCCCCAGUCAGGUACUUAUAGAUAAAACCCCCACCUCCCUGGGACAGAGCACCUUGGGUAAGGGGCAGCUGUGGGCACAGCUUUAGCAGACUUCAACGUCCCUGCCUGACGGCUCCGAAGAGAGCAGCUGAUCUCCCAGCACAGUGUUCAAGCUCUGCUAAGGGUCAGACUGCCUCCUCAAGUGGUUCCCUGACCCCUGUGUCUCCUGACUGGUAGACACCUCCCAGCAGGGGCUGACAGACACCUCAUACAGGAGAGCUCUGGCUGGCAUCUGGCGGGUGCCCCUCUGGGACGAAGCUUCCAGAGGAAGGAACAGUCAGCAAUCUUUGCUGUUCUGCAGCCUCCGCUGAUGAUAUCCAGGGAAACAGGGUCUGGAGUGGAUCUCCAGCAAACUCCAGCAGACCUGCAGCAGAGGGGCCUGACUGUUAUAAGGAAAACUAACAAACAGAAAGGAAUAGCAUCAACAUCAACAAAAAGGAUGUCCACUCAGGGACCUCAUCCAAAUGUCACCAACAUCAAAGACCAAAGGUAGAUAAAUCCAUGAAGAUGGGGAGAAACCAGUGCAAAAAGGCUGAAAAUUCCAAAACCCAGAACGCCUCUUCUCCUCCAAAGGAUCACAACUCCUUGCCAGCAUGG
rnacentral:lncRNA from 1 species